CACUUAGUUGCUGAGCAGACUUGAAUGAGCCUGUGUGCUGUGCUCCUUGUCCUGCCGCUGGAUGCUGUGGAUUGUGCUCAGGCAAGCUCCGAAGGAUGAAUUGACCUAUGAUGAUGUGCAUGUGAACUUUACUCGUGAAGAAUGGGCUUUGCUGAAUCCUUCACAGAAGAGCCUCUACAAAGAUGUGAUGUUGGAGACCUACAGGAACCUCAAUGCUAUAGGCUACAAUUGGGAAGACAAUAAUAUUGAAGAACAUUGUCAAAGUUCCAGAAGACAUGGAAGGCAUGAAAGAAGACUUACUGGAGAGAAACCCUCUGAAAAUAUUCAGUGUGGUAAAGACUUUGCAAGUCACAGUUAUCCUCAAAGGCAUGAAAAAAUUCAUACUGGAGAGAAACCCUAUGAAGUGAUGUAUUAAGAUAGACUCUCUCGGAUGGAGCUCCUGGGGGAGCCAUCUUGGGUCCCGGAUCCCUCAGAGACUAGUCUGCACAGGUGAGAGUGCAGACUAUAGAAGCGACACAGCUUCUGGGACAGGCCUUGUUUUGGGCCUUCAUCUUCAGCUAGGAGGCAGGUCCAAACUCCAGAUAUCUGUACACCUUCCCUGCAAGAGGAGAGCUUCCCUGCAGAGAGUACUCUGACCACUGAGACUCAGGAGAGAGCUGGACUCCCAGGUCUGCUGACAGAGGCUAACAGACUCACAGGAGGAACAAGCUCCAACCAGAGACAACUAUAACGACUAACUCCAGAGAUUACCAGAUGGCAAAAGGCAAAUGUAAGAAUCUUACUAACAGAAACCAAGACCACUCACCAUCAUCAGAACCCAGCACUCCCACCUCAGCCAGUCCUGGAUACCCCAACACAUCCGAAAAGCUAGACCUGAAUUUAAAAACAUAUCUCAUGAUGAUGGUAGAGGACAUCAAGAAGUACUUUAAUAAACCACUUAAAGAAAUACAGGGGAACACUGCUAAAGAGUUACAAGUCCUUAAAGAAAAACAGGAAAACACAACCAAACAGGUGAUGGAAAUGAACAAAAUCAUACUAGACCUAAAAAGGGAAGUAGAAACAAUAAAGAAAACCCAAAGUGAGGCAACGCUGGAGAUAGAAACCCUAGGAAAGAAAUCUGGAACCAUAGAUGCGAGCAUCAGCAACAAAUUACAAGAAAUGGAAGGGAGAAUCUCGGGUGCAGAAGAUUCCAUAGAGAACAUGGGCACAACAAUCAAAGAAAAUGCAAAAUGCAAAAAGAUCCUAACUCAAAAUAUCCAGGACACAAUGACAAGACCAAACCUAUGGAUAAUAGGAGUAGAAGAGAAUGAAGAUUUUCACUUUAAAGGGCCAGCAAAUAUCUUCAACAAAAUUAUAGAAGAAAACUUCCCAAACCUAAAGAAAGAGAGAGAUGCCCAUGAACAUACAAGAAGCCUACAGAACUCCAAAUAGACUGAACCAGAAAAGAAAUUCCUCCCGACACAUAAUAAUCAGAACAACAAAUGCACUAAAUAAAGAUAGAAUAUUAAAAGCAGUAAGGGAAAAAGGUCAAGUAACAUGAAGGCAGGCCUAUCAGAAUUACACCAGACUUUUCACCAGAGACUAUGAGAGCUAGAAGAUCCUGGACAGAUGUUAUGCAGACACUAAGAGAACACAGGCUACUAUGCCCAGCCAAACUUUCUAUUACCAUAGAUGGAGAAACCAAAGUAUUCCAUGACAAAACCAUUCACACAUUAUCUUUCCACGAAUCCAGCCCUUCAAGGAUAAUAACAGAAAAAAACCAAUACAACGACGGAAACCACACCCUAGAAAAAGCAAGAAAGUAAUCUUUCAACAAACCUAAAAGAAGACAGCCGUAAGAACAGAAUCCCAACUUUAACAACAAAAAUAACAGGAAGCAACAAUUAACUUUCUUUAAUUUCUCUUCACAUCAAUGGACUCAAUUCCCCAAUAAAAAGACAUAGACUAACAGAAAUGGCUACACAAACAGGACCCAACACUUUGCUGCUUCCGGGAAACCCACCUUAGAGAAAAAGACAGACACUACUUCAGAGUGACAGUCUGGAAAACAAUUUUCCAAGCAAAUGGUCCAAAGAAAUAAGAUGUACCCAUUCUAAUAUCGAAUAAAAUUGACUUCCAACCCAAAGUUAUC